AGUGAACGCUGGCGGUAGGCCUAACACAUGCAAGUCGAACGGCAGCACAGUAAGAGCUUGCUCUUACGGGUGGCGAGUGGCGGACGGGUGAGGAAUACAUCGGAAUCUACUUUUUCGUGGGGGAUAACGUAGGGAAACUUACGCUAAUACCGCAUACGACCUACGGGUGAAAGCAGGGGAUCUUCGGACCUUGCGCGAUUGAAUGAGCCGAUGUCGGAUUAGCUAGUUGGCGGGGUAAAGGCCCACCAAGGCGACGAUCCGUAGCUGGUCUGAGAGGAUGAUCAGCCACACUGGAACUGAGACACGGUCCAGACUCCUACGGGAGGCAGCAGUGGGGAAUAUUGGACAAUGGGCGCAAGCCUGAUCCAGCCAUACCGCGUGGGUGAAGAAGGCCUUCGGGUUGUAAAGCCCUUUUGUCGGGAAAGAAAAGCAGCAGGUUAAUACCCCGCUGUUCUGACGGUACCCAAAGAGUAAGCACCGGCUAACUUCGUG
rnacentral:rRNA from 1 species